rnacentral:rRNA from 1 species
AACGCGAAGAACCUUACCUGGUCUUGACAUAGUAAGAACUUUCCAGAGAUGGAUUGGUGCCUUCGGGAACUUACAUACAGGUGCUGCAUGGCUGUCGUCAGCUCGUGUCGUGAGAUGUUGGGUUAAGUCCCGCAACGAGCGCAACCCUUUUCCUUAUUUGCCAGCGGGUUAAGCCGGGAACUUUAAGGAUACUGCCAGUGACAAACUGGAGGAAGGCGGGGACGACGUCAAGUCAUCAUGGCCCUUACGACCAGGGCUACACACGUGCUACAAUGGUCGGUACAAAGGGUUGCUACCUAGCGAUAGGAUGCUAAUCUCAAAAAGCCGAUCGUAGUCCGGAUUGGAGUCUGCAACUCGACUCCAUGAAGUCGGAAUCGCUAGU